rnacentral:misc_RNA from 1 species
AAGAUAAGGUACACCUCUUUAACCAGAAGGUACAACCAUCUAAAGCACAAUUUCCUUGUUCAACCACCAUUCAUGGCUUUCAAUUCAAGAUUCCAUUUGGGGUUGCUUAUUUUCUUCAUAUUAACCCCUUUUACUAUCUCUUUCAUCCUCAGCCCAUCACCACAGCCAGAACCAAAACCCACAAUCUAUGAUAUCCUCACAGUAUAUGGGCUGCCAGGUGGCAUCUUUCCAGACACUGUGGAAUCCUAUAAUCUUGAUAAAGAUGGAAACUUUGAAGUAUUUCUGAAAGCCCCUUGUUAUGUAGAGUUUGAAUAUUUGGUUUAUUAUGCUGAAAAGAUUAGUGGGAAACUAGGUAUUGGGUCCAUUACUGAGUUAGAAGGGAUUGAAGUGAAAAGAUUCUUGUUUUGGUUUAAUGUUAAAGAAAUUAGAGUUGAUUUGCCACUUUCUGAUAGUGUUUACUUUCAGAUUGGUUUUGUUAACAAGAAGCUUGAUAUUCAUCAGUUUGAGACUAUUCAUUCUUGUAUGAAGAGUGGAUCUUUGAGACAAGUUCUACAGCUUCCAGCUCCUGUCAAUGAUAUGCAAAUGCUUAUUACUGAGUAAAUGGGAAACAAUAUGCAACUCAAGGAGAAAGUAGCAAUGGGAAAAAUGUACUAUUUGUGAAUUGAAGGAAAAUCAAGACUGGUUAUGAUGAAGAUUAAAGAUUCCACAUGUGUAUCGUUUAUAAAGACGAUCUUUGUAGGAUCAUUUUCUUCUAUUCAAAUUGUGAAGGACUGAUUAUAUAUAUUUAGUCA